CCUGUCAUAAAAAAAAAGUCACAUAACUAAAAGAAAUCUCAUUUGUAAAGGCAUCUCCUCUCCCUUAGAAAGAAGGAAGAGUAAGAGUUUUAACAAUGGCAAAGACCAGUUUGCCUUAGUUGUAGAGACUUUCAGCCUUUUCCCCUAAGCAAGCCUUUACCUAUAUCCUCCUUUUCUUUGUUCCAGGAAACAAGAGUACUGAAGCUUGAAAGUUAAGGCAAUUUCUGACAUCUGCACCAGAGAUAUAGCCAUUUCUCUGGGUUACUUCCCACAUAUAUAGAAGGUAUGCACAUUAGGAUGUUUUUAUUUAUUUUCCUUUUGUUAAGCUGUCUUUGUUUCUUGUGUUUCAACUAAAAACUCAUGGAUGGUGAGGAAAACCCAUUUUCACCCCUUCCAAAAGUAAGUUUUACCAGGGUAAAGUGCUGAUUUAUAGCUGAAAAUCUGAUGAGGAGAGAAUGAAAACAAAAAACUCGAUCCGUACAGUAGCAGUUGGAUACAGACUCAAGAUGUAGGAAAGCCUUGCUGAGCAAUGUGCUCAGCUCUCAAACUGGGCUUCAGACUCACCCAAGUAUCUUCCAAAGGCAGACUUUCAAUGCAGCAGGUCUGGGGCAGGGCUGUACUUCUAACAAAGACAGCCUGGUAUUACCAACAAAUGCCAGUGAUCAAAAGAUUGGGCUUUGCAUAGCAAGGCCAAAGAAUGAACAGAAGAGCACAUAGACUUUUCC